rnacentral:lncRNA from 1 species
UAGAAACCAACUUAUAACUAGCCACCUUAGCUUUCUUGGAUCUGUUCGUCCGGGAAAUGGUGUCACAUCUUUGCCUAUCUUUUCAACCUUGAAUUUGUCAUGUGGCAGGCCGUCCUUCUCCUGCCAUUAAUGGCUUAUAUCUGGCGUCUUUCCAAGAGCUACUUGGAUCAAAAUCAAUACAAAUGAUUUGACAUGGGGGGUAAUCCAUGACUCGCAGCUUGUUGUAGUGCUGUGUUUCGUAGUUUCAAUGGCGCUUUCGAGGCAAUUUUGCAAUGCCUCUUGGCCACCAAACAUGUUUUAUGUUGAGAUGUAUGCGAUUGUUCAGGUUAUUGAGUUUGCAACUCCGAAGGGACGGGAUUGUAUUUGGUCAGAGAGUGCGACUCAUCUUCAGCAGCCAGCUUCAACUUGUCUCAUGAGCUCCAGCUUCAAGCAGCCAUGGCAACUGCGCUUCAGAUGGUUCAGUUGCUUGAGCUUAAUUCGUGGUACGCAUUUUACUUGUUUGCACAACUGCGCUUCAGAUCUACUUGAGGAUGCUUAAGGUCGGUCUUCUCCAAAUAUCACUUCAAAUCAGUGAUUUUAUCAUAUUUUCUCCUCUUUUUUCUUAAUAAAAUUUCAGUAUGAUUCAUAUGAAAAAAAAAAAAUAUAUAAUGCAUGUCAUAACAUUCACAAACCUUCUAAUAUUUCGCCUCUUGCAUUGCAUUAUACCAUAACAAAAAGAUUUUCUUCAACGUAGGGAAAUUGGCUUUAUUUACAUUUAUUUAAAAAUUAAAAAAAAAACUGAAAAUCAAGAAUCGAGCCGUUCAUUAGAGUGAAUCAAAAUAAAUUGAACCGACAAAAGACUACCAGAGAUGAAUCUUCAGCACACCAAGUCUGAAGAUACAAGAUUUUUUGAUAGCAGGAUUAAUUAUAAAAAGUUUGAAACAAUUCGAAAUUUGUAUUAAAUAAUUAUGAACCCUUACGGCAAAGACUAGUAACCAAGUAAAUACAUCACUACCUUGGAACAACUUCUGCAACUUUUGGAUGCAUGGUACGAAGAAGAAUACAAAUAUAAAAGCCCAAAAGUUAAAGAAAAAAAAAAAGAGGUAGAAAACCUAAUUGAAUGCAUGAACACAUCCGCUGAGCACACAUAUAGGAGCAAAAUCACUGAUCAAAUUUAUGAUUUGAGUCACUCCAAGAGUCUUGCAACAGGAAUGAAAUCGAGUCCCGCAAUAGCUACAUGAUUCGCCACUUGAUAAAAAAUUGAAUCUGCACCUCUCAGAGUACCUUCAAACAAUUAAGAACAUGUUGAAGUAAAAAGUUAUUAGGUGCAGACGUCUGCAUGAAGGAAAUUAUUAUAAAGGAUUAAUGCGAGAAAAAGUACGCACCAGAAAUUAAUCAAAUGUGAUCUCUGCUCAAGAUUUGAAACAGGGAAGAAAAGCAUUUCGAGUAACUUCAUCCACCCAUUCGAGCUGUUCCCACCAUCUUCUGUCUCCAUAAAUAACAAUGUUACGCUCUCUUGCGCUAUUGGAAUCAAGUGGAAGCUUUUUGAGCUUAUAGCAAUUCAAGAAACUCAUCGAUUUCAGAUGUGGGAAGGGCAGGGGCUUCCAGUAAAUGCUCUUCAAAUUUAUCAUAGCAGUUAAUUCAAGAUUUUGGAGUCUGCCAAAUGGGUUUAGAUUUGCCAUCACCUCUGGAACUUCUGCAAACUUUCCCAUACUUGCGAUUUCUUCCAUAUCACGGCAACUCCGUACAUCAAUAGACUCGAGGUUUGGAGCGAAGACAAGGAAUGUCAAGUCCUUCAACUUAUAGCAACCGAAUAUUUCAACCUUCUUAAGACUCUGGAAAACAAAUUGUUGAACUUCUCCUGUAUAAUCCAUCUUUAACUCCUCCAAUUGUUUACACUCUGUAAUCCAUAAUCUGUUAAGUUGCUUCAGAUCUGCCAAGGCUGAAACUUCAAGCGAUGUCGAAUCGUUGAAGCAUUGGAGUAAGAGUGCUCGAGUACAACAUCGUAACUUAUGCGAGCUCAAAAAGCUUUGGAGACCAUGAGUACUUCUCAAGUUGAAGCUAAUCACCUCUAAAUAUUUCAAACCAAGCAGUUCCUCUACUAUGAGUUCACCCCCACCAAAUAAAACGCUGUCUUCUGAUGCUUCAUCAAAGGCAUUAUGACCAGCACCAAACAUUCUCAGGACAUGUAACCUUGAAAGAUUAGAUAUUAGUUGGCGUGGAAUUGUAAUUAAACUCCUUGUGCAUUCCAAAUCCAAACAUUUAAGAUUUACCAAUGCCUUCAACUCUCCUGGCAACUCUUCUAUGUCGGAUUCUGACAGGUCAAGAUGUUGCAGUGAAACCAACUUUGAAAUCCCCACUGGUAAGUUGGUUCGUUUGCUGUAUGACAGAUUUAAAACUUUGAGGGAGGGCAUAAAUUGGAAGAAGUCAUUGGGGAUCAUCUGAAGCCCAUUUCUGUUGAGGAAACAAGUGAGGAGAUGAGGACAUGUAGGAAUCUCUGAUAGAUUCGUAAUUUGAUUGUGCAUCAAUGACAAUCUCCUUGCCUUUUCCCAUCCUCUGACAUCGGGUGCUUCAACUAAUCCAACGCCAGCAUAAACCAAAAAAUUCUCUUUCUCCUUUUCAAUAUCGCAUGCUAUCCACAAUGCCAUAUCUCGAACUACGUCAUGCAUUUUUACUUCACCAUCUCCUCCCUCUUCCAGUAAACAGACAUGGAGAAGAAUACCCAAAAUAUAGUAUCCUUGGUUUUGUUCUCCAAACCUGUCCCUCUCUGUCAAAAAUCCCUCGCCGAUCCAACAAUCUAUCAAAUCCUCUUUAGAAAUGCAAUAAUCUUCUGGAUAUAAACAACAAUAUAAGAGACAUGAUCUAAUUGUGUCACUGGGCAAGCUAUCGUAACUGAAUUUUAAAAGAGGGUAAACCUCGUUUCCCAAACCUGGAAAUUGAGAACUUGACGUUCUUAACACCUCAAUUGCAUAAGUCCAUUCUUCAGGUGUCUUCUUGCAAGCCAUAGCUCGGCCAAUGGUAAUAAGAGCUAGUGGCAAACCACCACACUCCUUGGCUGCUGUUUGGGCUAGUUGAAGAAUAUCGGGACGACCGUUCAGAGUUUCUUCUCCAACUUUCUGUUGAAACAGCUCCCAAGCAUCGAUAUCUGAUAAGCACGCCACUUUAAACUUCUUGUGAGCUUCCAUCAAACCACAAACUUCUUCGGAACGGGUUGUGAAUAUCACUUUGGAUGUACUAUUUUGUGGGCCAGGAAGAGGGACGCCCACUUUUGUCAAAUCAACCCGCUGCCAUAAGUCAUCUAGCAACAGCACAAACUUCUUCUCCUUCAAAAUCCUGAAGAUGUCUAAAGCUUUCUGUUCAAUUCUUCUAUUCUUCCAUCCACCGUUCAACAAACCAAUCUUCUCCCCGAUAGUUUCUUGAAGGUUUUCAAGUCGCAGGUCUUUUGACACGACGGCCCAUAUCACAUAAUUAAAAUUAGUUGGACUCUCAAGAAAUUUGUUGUUGAUCUGGGUCAAUAGUGUAGUUUUACCGACACCGCCCAUGCCGUAUAGGCCAACAAUUCCGACUGAUUUUUCUUCAAGACAUCUCCAAACUUGCUCGAGUUGUGAUUGCAGGCCUACUACUGUCGGCUCGAUAGGCCUUUCAUCCGCUACUGAUUCUGGAGCUCUCUCAGCUACCACUUCAAAGGCUCCUUCGGCCAUUAAGGUCCCGACAUCUCUUAGCUUUUUAGCCACUUGUUUGCCAAGCUUGUAGCUUGAAUGGCAGUUCUUGGAACAGUAGCCUCCAAGACAUAGUUUCUCAAUUUCUUGAGAGCCAUGUCUUAUCAAUUCAUCAGCUUCAGCUUUAACAGCGUCCACCCUCGAAAGCCAGCCUUGAACUUUGUUCAGCCUUGUCAUCAUUGGUUGCCUUUCAGCGUUGACGACUCUCGCCAUCACAUCGUUCUUUGCUUCGAUUAGUUUUACCAAUUCAGUCUCCAAGGCUAUGACAUUUUCUUGCAGGUUUCUUAUAUAUGCUGCUUUUCCAAGAAAGCAAUCCAGGCAACGAUUGAAAAUAGCGCCAUCGCAUGAGAUUGAGAUUUGCAAAAUGUUACCCAUUUUUUUUUUUUUUUGGAUAAUAGAAAACAACUACGAGAAACCAAGAUAAUUUUAGCAGAAGCUGGUGCGGAUUGAAAAAAAUUUGUGUUUUGUAAAUUUAGAAAGAUUAGGCAUGUACCAUUCGCGACUGCUUUACUUGCAUUCAAUAAAUUGGCCUUUUGCUUUUGUAAUUUUUUUUUUUUUGACCGAGAGGUAUCUUGAGGAAGAUCUUCACCUAUAGAAGGUUAUUUUAAGUUCGUAUAAUAAUUCUCUUAAUUAUAGAAGAUAUUUUUAAAUUUAUACUAUAAUUUAAAUUAAAAGUCUCUAUUCGAAUUGAGAGGUACAGAUUUUUUUAAUAAAAAUAACUUUUCUAUGACUUAAAAUAAAGAAUAAACUCAAUCAAGUUACUUAAGGACCUAUUAUCAGUGAAGGCAUCCUUUUACAUUUGUAAUUAAUUUAACAUUUAUCCUCAGCUUGUAAUUUAAUAAAAGAAUUCUUCUUGUUGUCAUUGUGACCUUGCUUUUUGUUGUUCCUUUUGUAAUUAAAUAUAACAACUUUUGCUUUUUUGUGCCACUAACGAUUAAAAUAUUAAAAGCAAUUAACGUAUAAUAUUACUUUUCUGACCAAGGCUUCCAACAAGGUUGAUCAUGAUAAUUGAGGGGAAACAACGCAGCAACCCUUUUUUUGUUUCCGAAUUGGCACGUCGUUUAAAUAAAAUUCAUAAAAUAAAGAAACAUUGGUUCAGAAAAUUUAUUGUGUUUAUAUUACAUUAACCAUUGGCCGUCAUAGUAUAUGCAGAGUAAUUAAUCAAACCCCAUUGAAAGCCAAAGUUGGUAACCGGCUAGCUAGAGCGCCAUAAUAAAAUACAAUAGAUAUAGCUAGUUAAAUCAUCUUAAAACCGACAUGAAUGUUUAAUUAGCCAAAUAAUGGCAUUAGACUAAUGUAGUAACAUGAUAAUAUCAAAUAAUAAUUGUCAUCAUAGAGAGUGGUUUGCAAACAAACUUUCGCUAAUCUUGAUUGUGACACCCUAUAUAUAAUAAACGAAAAUAGCCCCCCUUUAAUUGCCAAUUGCCAUAAGUUAUAGUAGUAAUUUUCUCAGCAAUUUCAUAAUAAUUCAUCAGUCUGCUAGAAGAAAACAAAUAUUUUUCCUGCUUCUCGAAUUGAAAAAACACCUAUCUCGUAGUUUUUAGUUUUUCCUCACUGAAUUUCUCUGUUUGUCAAAAACAAUACUGUAAAACUCCCAAGAUCUUAUACUUUCCAUUUCUUAAAUACAACAUUUCUUUCUGAUUUGCAGAAAAAAAUUAAUUCAGAACAACAUAUGACAAUAUGACUUCAUAUCAUACAGUGCAAGAAAACUGAACCCUUUGUAGAAGAUAAAAUGCUUCCUCUGUUAGCGUGAAACAGCCGACGAAACACAUAGUUCAACUUCAUUGUUGACUUCAUAAAAAAUUAAUGUUAGGGACCUUCAGAAAUUUCGGCAUUUGAGUAGUAACUUGAAUGGCAAUUACAAACAAGCCGCCGCAUUAUGUUAAACAUUUGAAUUAGUAACAAAAUUUAAGAAAAUUAUUAUAUGUCAUGUUAUUAACAUAGACCCUUAGUUCGGAGCCUCAUAUUGGAGAACAGUUAUGUUAUUUUAUUUUAUUAUAUUAUAUUUGAAGUUAAGAUAUAAUAAACAUUGAAAUACUUAAAUAUUUAGGAAUGCUUUUCAAAAGUGAUAAAAUAAAUAUACGUUACACACGCAUAAUUAAGCACUUCCAAAAACACACCCUAAUUAAUAAUGACAUCAUAUUAUAAUGUAUCCCAAAUCCGUUCAUCAAGUGACGAUUUAAGAGCACUCUCAAACACCCCAUAAUAAGAUUAUAUUUUUCCAAUCCAUAUAGUUUUUGAUGUAUAUUUUCAAACUUCUCAUGAUCAGACACAUGGGUACAAAUCAUAUUUUCUAAGCUCUGAAAUCCCCAGAUCAUGAUAUCAAAUGUCGGAAUUAUUUAUAACUAUAGUGAGAGGUCUGGAGGUGAGCUAAUCCAGCCAAUCAUACUGUUAUUUAUGACUUUGAUUGUCGAGGAAGAAAUAUUCAAGCUGCAAAAGUAAAGAACACAUAAGAAUGCUAGGAUUGAUUAUAGGGAGCGGUUUCAGAGACAAAUUGAAAGUGAAGCUGCAUUAAAUUCCACGUCACUACCUGGAUGAGGGGGUUCGUUGCUCCUGCUAGCAUUGUUGGAUUGCAAAGGAUUAGGCAUCGCAUUCUGAGAACUGGACUCCAUUGAAAGCAUCUUCAGAGAUAUUUUCCGGCAAAAAUCCGACUGAAAUUUGAGACCAGUACAAAAUGAUUAAUCAUAGUACUCCAUGUUGCCAAAAUGAUCAAAGAAUAUAAAACAGAAAACAUGACCUAAUUGUCGUGCAAUGAAUAGAAAUAAAUUAAAAUAAUAAAAUAUGGUUUGAACAGAUAAUAAAAAUGCUGGAGGCUAUUAGGUGAAAAUCUUCUUUCCAACAAUAGCCACUAUAUGAUGGCAACGACAAAAAUGAAUAUAUAUAUAUAUAUUUCAGUUCCUUUCUUUUUUUUUUCUUUCUUCAGUUUCACAGGUUAGAAGAUUUGCAACUUUUUCCUCUUCCAACUUCAUUCUUCUCUCCCUUUUUUAAAAAAAAUAAAAAAAAUUUCAACAACGGCAUCAUCCGCUUUAUCGUCACCACAAAUUAAUGACCAUCAAGAGCCAAUAUCAUUUGAUACUUAUUUACCCCAUUUCCCUCCUCUUUUUUCCACUCUCCCUCUUUGGAGACUUUUCUUUCCCAAUUUCCCAAGUACAUGGCUACUUUGCACCACAUAUACAUGUCUGUGCUUCCAUGUGCACGGUUCACACAUAGAUUUACACAAAUAAAUAUCAGGAAUCUUUAAAAGGAAAAGAAACACAUAGGAACAGCCCUGCAUUGAAGCACAUAUAUAAGAAAAGAGCAUUUACAUACAAGUCAAACAAAAAAAGCCUCAAACUGGAAUUACCUGACUUGUGGCAGAAGUAUAUAUCUUUUCUUCAAACCGCCCGGCCAUGUUCUUGAGUUCAUUUAAUCCCUCUGGGCUAGAAAAUGGAAGAUGUCUCUUCAAUGUAUCCAUUCUAUUAAAAAACACUAUGUUAAUGAGUCACUAUGCACAUUGUUCAGUUUCUCAGAGAACACUCAAUCAGUAUACAAUAUGAAGUAUUUGAAUUCUCAGGCCAAGAUCAUAAUUUGACGAAAAUACAAAGUACAUAAUAUCUAGGAGUCUCUAAGUUACAUUUAAUGUAACAUACACAAUUCAUCUCAACCACAUGAAUUGCGGGUCUCAUAAUUUUAUGUGGUUGAGAUGAAUUGUGUAAGUUACAUUGAAUGUAACUUAGCACUUGCAUAUGUAUAUGUAAAGGAAGCACAGUACUCUCUGGAUGGUUUAUGGGCCGAUUUGAACAUGGGGCUGUCAUUGAUUUGGAUUUUACGUUAAAUAAAAUAGAAACGGUACAGAUUCUCGCGAUUACGUGCCGGCCACUGGUGAAUUGGUGGCCAGCAGCUACAAAUUGAAGAUAUGGUAUCUGUGGUUGGUUUAUUAUUUUUCAUUUUUUUUUCUUUUUGGUCUCGCAAUAAAUUAUUUUUUUCCUCAUUAUCUUUUGAGAAUUAUAAUUACAUCAAUUAAACUCAUUAAUAUUUAUUAGUUGGAUCUCUCUAUAAUGCUGCAUUAUUUUUUUUACAGAAUCAAUAAUAUAAUAAAUGUACAUUUUAAGAUUUUGAUCAACAAUUUAAAAUAUUUGUAUAAAUAAAAAGAUAUAGAUUCUUUAGAAAUAUUGGUUAAUAUUUAAAAAAAACUGCUUAAAAAAAGUUUUUUAUAAAUUAAAAUAAAGGAAAAAAAGAGUUAUAUGAAUCACCACCUCUCUUUAUUCGCGUUGAAUCCAUAAGUAUUUCUAUUUAAUUUGAAUUCAUCAACUUAAUUUUAAGGUUACUCUUAUUAAUUAACUAAUUAUUUAUCCACUUAAUUAAACUAAUGAUAUAGAUUAAAAUAUCUAAAUCUUAGAGUCUAGACCAAUCCCAUUAUGUAAGAAGAUCACACAACAUCAUAAAAAAUUCUCAUUAAUUACUAUUAUUGAAUUAUGUAAUAUGUCUGUUAGUACUUUUAUUUUAUUUUAUUUUUAAAUUUUACACUACAAAAUUAUUAUAUUAUGAAGAAAAUUCACUGACUUUGAUCAACAAUGAGAGUACUCUAAAAAAAAUUUGUUUUCAAAAUAGGAAAAUUUAUUACAGGUAAAUUGUUGACAAAUUCAUCUUAACAGACAAUGAGAGGGACUUGAAUCAGCAGUGAGGCCAGAUAUUAUUUCAAAGACAGGAGAGCGAUAAAAACUACAACCCCUGUUGCCGUUUUUGUUGUCCAUAUAUUGUGAAAAAAAAUAAAAAAAAAUCAAUAUGUGAGCGGCAAAAAUGAUAAGAGAGGUGCCCCUUUGUUUUUUUUUUUUUUGAAGAGGUUGCUAUGUUACAGAAUCUGUAACAUACACACCCAAUGGGAAGAGCACACAUGUCCUGAGGAGAGAGAAAAAAUUCAUACAAAUGCAAGUAAUGGGAGUUGGCUAAAGCUGGAUCCGUAAGUUACAGAGUCUAGGUUUUAUCUACGGGUAAUUUUUAAAAAUCUUCCCUGAGGUUUGAGGCUCUUGCAAGUAGAUGGUGAAAAUUAUUUUAUUUGUAAAAGGCCCCCUAUCAUUAGUUAAAAUUUUCAUUGACUAACUGUUGACUGGUUAAAAUUUUCAUUGACUAACUGUUGACUUUGAAAAGAUAAUAUUACCCUCAAUAUUUACAAUUCUAAAUAUUUACAAUUUCAUAAGUAAUUAAAACAAAUAUUUUCACCAUGAUCAAGUUAUUGAUAUUUCCUUAAAAUCUUAAAAAAAUAAAAUUACAAAUCUUAAAAUAAUUUUUUUUAAGUUUGUAAUAAAAUUACAAAUCUUAAUUAUUUGAUAUAAAAAUGUAAUUUUUUAAAGUUUGUAAUAAAAUUACAAAUCUUAAUUAUUUGAUAUAAAAAUAUAAUUUUUUUUAAGUUUGUAAUUUUAUUUUUUUUAAGAUUUUAAGGAAAUUUUAACUGACGUAAACUAUUAUUGGGGGUAAUAUUAUUUUUUUAAAAUCAACAGUUAGUCAAUAAAAAUUUUAACUGACGGUAGGGGGUCUUUUACAAAUAAAAUGAUUUUCACCAUCUACUUGUAACAGCCUCAAACCUCAGGGGAGGUUUUUAAAAAUUACCCUUUUAUCUACCGGCGGUAAUAAUCAUAUGCUGUACGGCAGAAAGGGUGGCAAAAAAAAAAAAAAAGAUUUCAUUGGCUAACACUGGACAAAUUCAUUGUGAGCCCUGAGCUGCAAGGUAUUUGUCGUUUUGACAACGUUGUGUAAAUUGUGCUUUUUACUGCAUAAACAAUUAAUAAUUCCAACUUCAUCAAAUUUCGAUUUCAUCAACUUUAGAGGAAAUUUUUGCCUUUUACUGGUAAUUAACUUGUCCAAAUUCAAUAGUGAAAAGCCAUUUACAUUGCACUUUCCGUAUAUAUAUAUAUAAUAUAGGCAAGUGCUAAGUUACAUUCAAUGUAACUUACACAAUUCAUCUCAACCACAUAAAAUUAUGGGACCCGCAAUUCAUGUGGUUGAGAUGAGUUGUGUAUGUUACAUUAAAUGUAACUUAGAGACUCCCAUAUAUAGAAACCAACUAAUAACUAGCCACCUUAGCUUUCUUGGAUCUGUUCGUCCGGGAAAUGGUGUCACAUCUUUGCCUAUCUAUUCAACCUUGAAUUUGUCAUGUGGCAGGCCGUCCUUCUUCUGUCAUUAAUGGCUUGAAUCUGGCGUCUUUCCAAGAGCUACUUUGACCAAAAUCAAUACAAAUGAUUUGACAUGGGGUAAUCCAUGACUCGCAGCUUGUUGUAGUGCCGCGUUUCAUAGUUUCACACUACAAGAAUUAUAUUCUUUCGCGACCAUAUUUUUUGUAACGAUAUAAUUUUUGUCAUAAAAUGUCACUUUUUACGACCAUAGGCAAUUUUAUCGCUAAAUGUCUUAUUUUUUUGUAACCAAAAUUAAGUUCAUCACAUAAACUCACUUUUUGCGACUAAACACAAUUUUCGUCGCAAAAGUAUUUACCAAUUAUAUUUACUUUUAAUUUAUUUGCGACCAAAAACAUUGUCGUCACAAAUUCUAUACUUUCAGCGACCACUUCAAGAUUUAGUCGCAAAAAAGAAAGUGAUAAAAAUAAUGUGCGACUUCCUUUUUGUGACAAAACUAAAUUUUCGUCUCAAAAUAUCUACUUUUUGCCACCCCUUUCAAGUUGUCGCAAAAAGUCGAAAGAUUUUUAAUACUUUUUGGCGGGUAAUCUACCACCAACCAAAUAAUAAAAAGAUAUUUAUAAUACUUUUUGCGACAAAUCAUUACUUGGUUGCUAAAAGUGAAAUAUUUUGGCCGAAAUUGAACCGCCUUAUACAAUUAAACUCAAUUUGAACAAGUUUUUGCGACCAAAUUUAAACGUGGUCACAAAAGACUAGCAUGUUAUAUAUAUUUGUAUUAUUCUUCUCUCUUUCAUUUUUAUCUCUAAGUUCUCUCACUCUUAUAAUUCUCAUUCCCUUGUUCUCACUCUAUCUUCCUAGCUUAUUUUCCUUACAAACUUUUUUUUUGGUUACAUAAUUUUAUUUAAUUAUCAUGUGUAGAAGUGAACUAACCUUUGUGCUUUUUUUUUUUGUAGAAAUUAAAUAUUGAAGAUCAUAUACAAAGAGGUGAAGAAAAUCAAGAUGCAAGAAGGUGAAGAAAAUCAAGAAAUUUAUGAAUAAAUAUAGUUGUUCCAAAUAUUACAAUGUUAUUUGAAGAUCAUUAUGUAAUUGUUCCAAGUGUUACAAUUAUGUAAUUGUUCUAAAUAAUGUAAUUUCAUUUGCAAAAUUUUUUUGUGUAUUUUUUUAUCAAUAAUAACUUUUAAUUUAAUUUUUCUACUUUCAUGAAGUUGGUUAUAAUUGUCUUAAUUAUUAAAGAAAAAUUAAAUAAAUUAUAAUUUUAUAAAAUUAUAAUUAAAACAUAAUAUUAUAUUUAAAUUUUUUGCAACCAGUUUGAGUAUGGUCGCAAAAAAUUCUAAAUCCGUGACGAAAUAAUUGGUUGCAAAAAAGUAACGGAGCCAAAGUGAAAUUAUAUUUUGCGACCAUUUUUUUCAUCGGAAAAAAAGUUAUUUUCUGUGACCAACUUAUGAAGUGGUCGUGAAUACUUUUCCUCAACAGACCUAAUGUGACCAACUUGCGACCAUAAUUUUUUGGUUGCAAAUUAUUUUUUGUGACGAAUUUGAUAUUUUCUGCGACGAAUUUAUUGAUCGCAGAUGACCAUAAUUCUAGUAGUGUCAAUGGCGCUUUCGAGGCAAUUUUGCAACGCCUCUUGGCCAUCAAACAUGUUUUAUGUUGAGAUAUAUGCGAUUGUUAAGGUUAUUGAGUUUGCAGCUUCGAAGGGAUGGGAUUGUAUUUGGUUAGAGACUGUGACUCAUCUUCAGCAGCUUCAACUUGUCUCGUGAGCUCCAUCUUCAAGCCGCCAUGGCAACUGCGCUUCAGAUGGUUCAAUUGCUUGAGCUUAAUUCGUGGUGUGUAUUUUAUUUGUUCGCACAUCUUCUGAGAGGGAAAUUCGGUGGCCGACAGCUUAUGAGAGUAGGAUGUUCCUCCUAUAUCAUUCAUAAGGAUCUACUUGAGGAUGCUUGAGGUCUUCUCCAAAUAUCACUGCAAAUCAGUGAUUUCAUAAUAUUUUCUCCUCUUUUUUCUUAAUAAAAUUUCAGUAUCAUUCAUA